CCCCAACCGCCGCCCCUCAACCCCUCUGGCAAGCUGCUUGGGAAGACCACUGGAGACAGAAACAACCAGACGGUCUAUGAUCCGCUUGCGCUGAUGUGUGGACUCUGAAGCAAGAGCCAAGGUCUGCCUGUUCUGCGGGUGGAGGAAUAUAGGCAGUUAACUGCUCUAGCACUAAAAGACUAUCACUUUCCCAAGAAUGUUCUUCUUGCCCUGGCUGAAAUGCAUUGACUACAUAUGCACAAGUCUAUUCUUGGUUCCCAGCCCACUGACCUGUGAACGCUCUGUACACUAAUCCUCCACUGGCCUGACUCCGCUGUACAGUAAACCUGCAAUCAGGCAGGGUCCUCUAAGUUCUGCUUUCUUUGUCAUGGCUUUGAAUUAUUUUGGCUUCUUUGUUAUUUCCAUGCAAAUUGUAUCAUCAACCACUGGUACUAGUAAACAAUGAAUAAACUCUGAUUAAUA